rnacentral:rRNA from 1 species
GAUGAACGCUAGCUACAGGCUUAACACAUGCAAGUCGAGGGGCAGCAUGGUCUUAGCUUGCUAAGGCCGAUGGCGACCGGCGCACGGGUGAGUAACACGUAUCCAACCUGCCGUCUACUCUUGGACAGCCUUCUGAAAGGAAGAUUAAUACAAGAUGGCAUCAUGAGUCCGCAUGUUCACAUGAUUAAAGGUAUUCCGGUAGAAGAUGGACCCGCGGCGCAUUAGCUAGUUGGUGGGGUAACGGCCUACCAAGGCGACGAUGCGUAGCCGACCUGAGAGGGUGAUCGGCCACAUUGGGACUGAGACACGGCCCAG